rnacentral:rRNA from 1 species
AGAGUUUGAUCCUGGCUCAGAUUGAACGCUGGCGGCAGGCUUAACACAUGCAAGUCGAACGGUAACAGGCCGCUGUGAUCUCUUCGGAGUGAACUUGGCGCUGACGAGUGGCGGACGGGUGCGUAACGCGUAGGAAUCUGCCCAGUAGAGGGGGAUAGCCCGGAGAAAUCCGGAUUAAUACCGCAUAAGCCCUUCGGGGGAAAGCAGGGGAUCUUCGGACCUUGCACUAUUGGAUGAGCCUGCGUCGGAUUAGCUUGUAGGUGGGGUAAUGGCCUACCUAGGCAACGUUCCGUAGCUGGUCUGAGAGGAUGAUCAGCCACACUGGGACUGAGACACGGCCCAGACUCCUACGGGAGGCAGCUGUGGGGAAUAUUGGACAAUGGUCGCAAGCUUGAUCCAGCCAUGCCGCGUGUGUGAAGAAGGCUCUAGGGUUGUAAAGCACUUUAAGUGGGGAGGAAAGGUUGUUAGUUAAUAGCCUUGCACUGUGACGUUACUUACAGAAGAAGCACCGGCUAACUCCGUGCCAGCAGCCGCGGUAAUACGGAGGGUGCGAGCGUUAAUCGGAAUGACUGGGCGUAAAGCGCGCGUAGGUGGUUUGUUAAGUUGGAUGUGAAAGCCCUGGGCUCAACCUGGGAACUGCAUCCAAAACUGGCAGACUAGAGUACGGUAGAGGGGGGUAGAAUUUCAGGUGUAGCGGUGAAAUGCGUAGAGAUCUGAAGGAAUACCAGUGGCGAAGGCGGCCCCCUGGACUGAUACUGACACUGAAGUGCGAAAGCGUGGGGAGCGAACAGGAUUAGAUCCCCUGGUAGUCCACGCCGUAAACGAUGUCUACUAGCCGUUGGGCAGCUUGACUGUUUAGUGGCGCAGCUAACGCGAUAAGUAGACCGCCUGGGGAGUACGGCCGCAAGGUUAAACCUCAAAUGAAUUGACGGGGGCCCGCACAAGCGGUGGAGCAUGUGGUUUAAUUCGACGCAACGCGAAGAACCUUACCAGGUCUUGACAUCCUGAGAAUCCUUCAGAGAUAGAGUAGUGCCUUCGGGAAUUCAGUGACAGGUGCUGCAUGGCAGUCGUCAGCUCGUGUCGUGAGAUGUUGGGUUAAGUCCCGCAACGAGCGCAACCCUUGUCCUUAGUUGCCAGCAGGUUAAGCUGGGCACUCUAGGGAGACUGCCGGUGAUAAGCCGGAGGAAGGUGGGGAUGACGUCAAGUCCUCAUGGCCUUUAUACCUAGGGCUACACACGUGUUACAAUGGGACAUACAGAGGGCUGCGAAACCGCGAGGUGUAGCGAAUCCCUUAAAAGGUCUCCCAGUUCGGAUUGCAGUCUGUAAUUUGACUGCAUGAAGUUGGAAUCGCUAGUAAUCGCGGAUUAGAACGCCGCGGUGAAUACGUUCCCGGGCCUUGUAUACACCGCCCGUCACACCAUGGGAGUUGACAGGGGCAUAAGUCGUUGAGCCAACCUUCGGGAGGCAGACGCCCAAGCUCUUGUCGAUGACUGGGGUGAAGUCGUAACAAGGUAACC